rnacentral:rRNA from 1 species
GACGAACGCUGGCGGCGUGCCUAACACAUGCAAGUCGAACGGAAGUUAGAGCUUCGGUUUUAACUUUAGUGGCGAACGGGUGAGUAACGCGUGGGUAACCUGCCGUAUACAGGGGGACAACAGUUGGAAACGACUGCUAAUACCGCAUAAGCGCACAGUACCGCAUGGUACAGUGUGAAAAACUCCGGUGGUAUACGAUGGACCCGCGUCUGAUUAGCUAGUUGGUGAGGUAACGGCUCACCAAGGCGACGAUCAGUAGCCGGCCUGAGAGGGUGAACGGCCACAUUGGGACUGAGACACGGCCCAAACUCCUACGGGAGGCAGCAGUGGGGAAUAUUGCACAAUGGGGGAAACCCUGAUGCAGCGACGCCGCGUGAGUGAAGAAGUAUUUCGGUAUGUAAAGCUCUAUCAGCAAGGAAGAAAAUGACGGUACUUGACUAAGAAGCCCCGGCUAACUACGUG